rnacentral:tRNA from 1 species
GGUUGUAUAGCUCAGUCGGAAGAGCGCAAGAUUCCUAAUCUUGAGGCCGUAGGUUCGAUCCCUACUACAGCCA